rnacentral:rRNA from 1 species
GAUGAACGCUGGCGGCGUGCUUAAUACAUGCAAGUCGAACGGACAGGCCCUGCUCUUGCGGGGCGCUCGAGUGGCGAACGGGUGAGUAACACGUGAGUAUCCUGUCCCUGUCUUUGUGAUAACUCUUGGAAACUGGGGCUCAUAUCGGAUAGGAGCUCCUGAUGCAUGGUGGGGGUUGGAAAGUUUCGGUGGUUGGGGAUGGUCUCGAUGCUUAUCCGCUUGUUGGUGAGGUAGUGGCUUACCAAGGCUUCGACGGGUAGCCGGCCUGAGAGGGUGACCGGCCACAUUAGGACUAAGGUACGGCCCAGACUCCUACGGGAGGCAACAGUGGAAAAUAUUGCACAAUGGGGGGGAGCCAGAUACAGCAACGCCGCGUGCGGGAUGACGGCCUUCGAGUUAUAAACCGCUUUCGCCUGUAACGAAGCGUGAUUGACGGUAAUGGGUAAGAAAGCACCGGCUAACUACGUG